GCAGUGGGGUAUGAUUUCUCAUCACCAUGUAUACAGCAAACUGAUAUUGUUUCAGAAGGGCAUAUACAAUUAAUUGGCACAUGGUUCUUAUGCACUAGAGUCUGUGUGCUGCCAGGGGCGGGCAACUCACAGGCC